AAUAAUGUAAUAUGCCUCGAUGUAAUUAUUGAAAAUGUGUAAAAAGUCCGAUGUAACCGUCUUUUUAGAUGUACAAUCACAUCGAUUCGAUGCUAAUUUACAUCUACCCCAAAAUUACACCUAAAUAAAGUAUCAACUUUUCUUUGCAUCGCAUUUGUGUAACAUUCACAUCGAAAAAAUGUGAUUAUUACACAGAAUGAGCUGCAACCAAGUGGUUGCAAUGGAGUUGUGUAGCAUUACACAAAGUCGAUGUCAUAUCGCAUCUUUUAAUGAUGCGAUAAUACAUCUCGCAACACUGCCGGCUUUGUUGUGAUCGGCCAAGAGCGAGGCAAGUGAGCGUCCAUUUUAGUUUUCGGUGAAGAAAGUUAGUGAAAGGAUUUUGCCUGAAAUUUGUUCAUUUUCGAAGGAUAAUUCAACGUGAAGCGGAGUUCCGGGCACCAAAAUUGGAACUUCAUCGCCGUCGAUCUGGAAGCCCAGCUCAACUUGGUGUUCUCCGACGAAUUAGCUUCUCCCCGGCGGCUAACAGGAACACCUAUUUCGAGCUAGCUAGUUGGCCAAGUGUGUUACCAGCUGCGGCAAAUAUACGGUCAAAAUCACCCUCAAGAACCACAUGCCAACAUAACAACCACCAAGACUAAGGGCGACAGAUGCCGGUUCCGAGGUCGAUGUUAACCACCGACUCCUUACCAUCGUCGCUGGUUGCGAUUUGACUAUGGUCCAGUAUGCCGUAUCCCCAGCACCACUGCCAUAAACGUGAUCUGGACCAGCCAGUAAACUCGAUCCGAUAUGCCAAAUGAAUACGAUCCGGGCGACGAUCGACAGACGAUGGAAUACGAUCCGGAAGAUCGUCAGCGGGAGACUUGGAGGAAAACUAAUUUUGCGAGGAGUUGGUCGCUCUGAAGGGUGUUGCAAAAGUAAACGUGAACUCCGGAAAAGGCGAACAUGGAUGCAGGAUGACUAUAAAGCCGUAUUCAAGUCAGUGUUCUCUUCACACUGUCGGCGUCAGGAUUAGCGCGGAACGAGAGAAGCAGCUCGAGGAGCCGUAUAGCCGAAGUGGCAAACACACGGGCAUUCAGUGGUCCACGAUCUCAUCGUAAUAGAAAUGUUAACGAUUAUUGACUUUCUUAGGUGUAGAUUAUCGUCGUAUCUGCUAUAUAAUAAACAAAUUAAACAUGUUUAGUUAUUGAAAAGCAAUCUCACAAUUAGUUUGAAUAUGCUCAUAUUUAUUGUGCAGGCUCUGACCUAGCUGGCCUUAAAGAAGACAAUAUAAGAACCUAGUUACAAAUAUAAUA